CUUCCUAUGAUUCCCUGCUGUUUCCUCCUCCCAGCACAAAACCACAGAUAUCAUUAGUAUAUGUACACACGUUGCUGUUGCAUGUCUUGUCUCCCUCUAUGAGUCUAAGAGCUCCCCCAGGGGCAGUCUUUCUGUUUACUUCCCUUCUCCUAUCCCCACUUCCUGGACUGGGAGCUCCUUGAGGUCAUUGCUGGGUCUCUCCUAU
rnacentral:lncRNA from 1 species